CCCCACCCAGCCCCAGGUUGCAGCAGCGGGUCCCGCAGCCCUUGCCCUCCCCCAGACCCUCAGGGGGGACCCUCCUCUCCUGGGUUCUCCCCGCCUCUGCCUCCCCCUCCCCCCUUAGUCUGGGACCUCAGCCUGCUCUCUCAGCUUUGCCCCCGCCAGACCCCGCCUCCUCGGCUGCGGUUCUCCCCCCCCCCCCGGGGGUCUUGUCUUGGAUCUGCCGGCAGGAUGGAGGUCGGCUCCCCCUGCUUGUGGAUGUACAUCGUCCCCAUUGUCCUGUUCCUCAUGAUGUCUGGAGCUCCGGAUGCUGGUGGCCAGGGAGGGGGUGGUGGGGGCGGGGGCGGGGGCAGUGGGAGAUAAGGGCUGACCUGUCACUAAAUAAAGUUCCCAUUGGACCCUGCUCUUGUCUGCAGCUUUUGGCCCUGGCGGCCCCCCUCCCGGGGCCCCAGCGCUGUGUGACCUGCCUUGGGGCUUCAGUGAACUCUUCCACUGAGGGAGUCAGGCUGGAGGAGGCAGGAGGGUCUGAGACCCGAGUCACAUGAGGGCGGGGGCUGCCAUGGUCUAGACUGCCUGUAGUCAGGAGAAGGGGCCAGGGGGCAGCUGCUGUGGCAAGAGACUCAAGGGGGCCUCUAGGCAAGGGGAGCCUCAGUGGUCGCCAGUGUAGGCCUCAGGCCUUGGGCAAGCGGGUGUAAAGCACCCACUGUGUGCAGCGCGCUGCCCUCAAGGACUGGUCAUCCAGGUCUUGAGGAGCCCCGACUUCUGAGGACAUAGGGGUGAUGAGGGCCCCCCUUUGACAGAGCUGGGGCGCCUUAGCCUGCUUGGGCUAGAGGAGGUGGGGGAUUGGGUCCCCGAGGGUGGCGGGGGACCCUCAUGGGCACUGGCAAAUUCUGGGACCCAGGUUGGGGAGGGGACACCCUGGAGACCCGCCAGGACAGCAUCAGCGAGCUGGGAGCCCGCUGGGCGGACAGAAAACGGUUUCCACAAUUUCUGUUGGCAAAGUUCAAAAUGUACCAGGAGCAUUUAUUUGUUCACUUGGUAACUUAGUCUGAGAAUAACGGAACUGGGGGGAGCGGAAGCUUCAUCGGGUUCAGAGUCGGUGCUCGCCGCUGUCCGGCUGUCGGCAGAUGCUCCUGCUGGGCUGCGCCACGUGGCUCCACGGGCGCGAUCUCGAGAAAGGAAGACGCUCUCCCUGAGCGAGUCUGGGCCCCACGCCGGGUAACUCGCCAUCCGGGGCGGCGACUCCCCCACAGCAGCCUGCUUACGGCUGAGCCGGGGGUGGGCCCUCCGGGUGAGGGCUCAGUGCCAAGAGGCACCGCCCCGAGGGUCUCCCAUGGCCCCAGAGCUCUGCAGACCGGCUCCCUGAGGAGCACCAAGGCUUUGUGAAGGCCCGGAGCCGCUUGUCCUCAUGGCUUUAGAAUGCACACGUUCUGCGCCGGACAGAAGCAGGAGGGGGACCCGCCUUGGGCCCGGCCAUCAGAACGGAGAAAGCCUCCGCCGAUGGUCCGGGCUCAGGGUGGCGAGCGCCCCACCCCCUGCUUUGUGGUCCACAGAGUCCAGCCCAAUGUGGGCACUGAGGGGGAGCCCUAGCGAGCAGGAGGCGCUGGGCCAGUAGGGCCUGGGGGAACUGGCAGCAGCUGUAGUGGGGACGGCGUCAUCCAAGUCUGCCCCAGCAAGGUGGUCAGCCAGGGACAUUCCCCUUCCCUGGUGCAGGGACAGGGGCGAGGGGCCGAGAAUAUUGGGCUUCUGGGGACAAUGUCAGCCUCCACCUUACAGGACUUCCCACAGAAGGGGGGUUCAGGGGAGGAUGGUCUGGAUCUGGUGGCUCGCACCCCAGCUCUGAGCCGGCCGCUUUGGGGGUUUCCCAUCAAGGGCUUGUGGGUGUCUAAGAGCUGGGGCGCAGUUUCAGGUUUUACCAGGAGGUGGAGCUGGAUGGCCCGAAAGUCCCCUUGGGGAUGGAAGCUGGUGCCCUCUGGGUCAGUGUGGGGAGACUGGGGGAGGGGCUUCCUGCAGUGGCUGGGGCAAAGACAGCCUAAGGGCGAUCACUGGUAAUACUUAUCCCGUCCCCAUGCUCCUUGUAUGGAGCACUCAUGAUCAUGGGUAAUCAGGCCAGGGCAGCGCCAGGCUGGCCAGAGAAGCCUCCGGCUCAGUUUGUGCCCUGCGGCUGGCGUCCUUUCCAGAGCUUCUUCAUGCCUCCUCUGGGACCACGGCCGAUGGUCUCACGGCUCCUAGUCCUCAAGUCUCUCAAGUGGGCACUGUUACUGUCAGCUGCUCUUCAGCGGGUACUCUCGUCAUUGUAAGCUGCGCUUGGGCGGGCACUCUUUCCCAGGGGGUCCGAGGAGCAGGCCAGCCUAAGGAAGGGGCGGUGGGGGCAUCUGUGUCCUGGAGGCUGCUGUGGAAUCCCAGAUGGUUUUUGUCCUUCUGAAGAAGAAAUGGCCUUUAGCCCCAGAAUAGACAAUCUGGGGGGAGGGGAUUCUUUAUCUACAAGGGGCUGGGUGGGGGGGAGGCCUUAUGGAAUGGUCUCUGAACUGGAAAGGAUUCUGAGGUCCAGCCUUCCAGGCCAUGCAGGAGCCUAGGGAAAUGGGCAGCUCGGUACCUAUUUAGGUGGCCCAGACAGGUCCAGGGGAGAAGGCUG
ensembl:lncRNA